rnacentral:rRNA from 1 species
GGGGGAAAAUUAAUAAAAUAUAAAUAAUAAAAAAAUUUUUAAUAUUGGGGGAUGUUAAAGUAUUUUUUUAAAAAAAAAAUAAAUUAUUUUAUAGUUAAUUAGUAUUGAAAAAGAAAUUUGAAAUAAUUGAAAAUAAAUUAAUAAAAAAGUAAUUUUUAUUUAGUGUAUCUUGUGUAUCAGAGUUUAUUAAAAAAUAUUUUUUAAAUAAAAAAAUCUCGAAUUUAAAAGAGUUAAUUAAUUAUAAAAGUUAAUGUGGAAUAAUUAUUUUUAAUAAUUAAUUUGAAAUGAAAUGUUAAUCGUUUUUAAAUAUAUCUAGUUAUUUUAGAAAAAAAUUUAAUUUAAAAUUUAAAAAAUUUUAUUAUUAAUUAUAAUUAAUAAUAAAAUAUUUAAAAUUAAAUAUAUUAAGGGAUAAGCUUUAAUAUAAAAAUUUAUAAUAAAUUAAAAUAAAAUUUAAAAAUUUUAAAAUUUAUAUUGUUUAAAAAUUUUAAUUUAUUACAAAAAAUUUUAAUAAUAAUAAAAUUUAAUAAAAAAUUUAAAUUUAUAUAAAAUAAUAAUUUAUAAUAAAAAAAAAUUAAUAAUAAUGAUAAAAUUAGUAUAUUACAAAUAAAAUAUAAUUUAAUUAAUAAAAAUUAAAUUAAAGGAAUUCGGCAAAAAUUUAUAUUCACUUGUUUAUCAAAAACAUGUCUUUUAGAAAAUAAUUUAAAGUCUAAUCUGCCCACUGAUAAUUAUAUUAAAGGGCUGCAGUAUAUUGACUGUACAAAGGUAGCAUAAUCAAUAGUCUUUUAAUUGGAGACUUGUAUGAAAGAUUUGAUGAAAUAUAAACUGUCUCUAAUUUAUAUAUAAAAUUUAAUUUUUUAGUUAAAAAGCUAAAAUAAAUUUAAAAGACGAGAAGAMCCUAUAGAGUUUUAUAUUAAAUUUAUUUAAGAUUAAAUAUAUAAUUAAAAAUUAAAAAUAAAAUUAAUAUUUUGUUGGGGUGACAAAAAAAUUUAUUUAACUUUUUUUAAAAAAUUAACAUAAAUAAGUGUAUAUUUGAUCCAUUUAUAAUGAUUAAAAGAAAAAAUUACCUUAGKGAUAACAGCGUAAUAUUUUUUUCUAGUACAAAUAGAAAAAAAAGUUUGCGACCUCGAUGUUGGAUUAAGAUAAAAUUUAAAUGCAAAAGUUUAAAAUUUUGAUCUGUUCGAUCAUUAAAAUCUUACAUGAUCUGAGUUCAAACCGGUGUGAGCCAGGUUGGUUUCUAUCUUUAAAAUAAUAAAAUAUUUUAGUACGAAAGGAUCAAAUAUUUUUAAUAGUUAAAAUUUAAUGAAUAUUAAUAAUAAUUUAAGUUAA